GAUGAACGCUGGCGGCGUGCCUAAUACAUGCAAGUCGAGCGAACGGACGAGAAGCUUGCUUUUCUGAUGUUAGCGGCGGACGGGUGAGUAACACGUGGAUAACCUACCUAUAAGACUGGGAUAACUUCGGGAAACCGGAGCUAAUACCGGAUAAUAUUUUGAACCGCAUGGUUCAAAAGUGAAAGACGGUCUUGCUGUCACUUAUAGAUGGAUCCGCGCUGCAUUAGCUAGUUGGUAAGGUAACGGCUUACCAAGGCAACUAUGCAUAGCCGACCUGAGAGGGUGAUCGGCCACACUGGAACUGAGACACGGUCCAGACUCCUACGGGAGGCAGCAGUAGGGAAUCUUCCGCAAAGGGCGAAAGCCUGACGGAGCAACGCCGCGUGAGUGAUGAAGGUCUUCGGAUCGUAAAACUCUGUUAUUAGGGAAGAACAUAUGUGUAAGUAACUGUGCACAUCUUGACGGUACCUAAUCAGAAAGCCACGGCUAACUACGUG
rnacentral:rRNA from 1 species